GAUGAAGGGAGCUUGCUCCUGGAUUCAGCGGCGGACGGGUGAGUAAUGCCUAGGAAUCUGCCUGGUAGUGGGGGAUAACGUCCGGAAACGGGCGCUAAUACCGCAUACGUCCUGAGGGAGAAAGUGGGGGAUCUUCGGACCUCACGCUAUCAGAUGAGCCUAGGUCGGAUUAGCUAGUUGGUGGGGUAAAGGCCUACCAAGGCGACGAUCCGUAACUGGUCUGAGAGGAUGAUCAGUCACACUGGAACUGAGACACGGUCCAGACUCCUACGGGAGGCAGCAGUGGGGAAUAUUGGACAAUGGGCGAAAGCCUGAUCCAGCCAUGCCGCGUGUGUGAAGAAGGUCUUCGGAUUGUAAAGCACUUUAAGUUGGGAGGAAGGGCAGUAAGUUAAUACCUUGCUGUUUUGACGUUACCAACAGAAUAAGCACCGGCUAACUUCGUGCCAGCAGCCGCGGUAAUACGAAGGGUGCAAGCGUUAAUCGGAAUUACUGGGCGUAAAGCGCGCGUAGGUGGUUCAGCAAGUUGGAUGUGAAAUCCCCGGGCUCAACCUGGGAACUGCAUCCAGAACUACUGAGCUAGAGUACGGUAGAGGUGGUGGAUUUCCUGUGUAGCGGUGAAAUGCGUAGAUAUAGGAAGGAACACCAGUGGCGAAGGCGACCACCUGGACUGAUACUGACACUGAGGCACGAAAGCGUGGGGAGCAAACAGGAUUAGAUANCCUGGUAGUCCACGCCCUAAACGAUGCGAACU
rnacentral:rRNA from 1 species